GGACCAGGCCAGAGCAGCCGUGACUGGAGUGUGGGUGUAGGGUGAAUGACCAGCAGGUGGCGAAGACCGGAUCCUACCUUUCCUCCUACGCCGGUCUCGGUGCAGCCUAGCGAAAGGUGAUCUGAGAGCUGUUCCUGGCCUCUGCCCCUGCAUCUAUGACAAGUCCCCGCUCCACACUAGGGGUCAAUCUGGCUUCCCCUCUUCAUUCUCUGCAGCUACACUCCCAGGCCUAGGUGUCUACAGUGAACUGCUGUGUCUUACAGACUUGGAUUGCUCUUUACCGUGUGAACUUGGACAAGAUAAUUCUUCGAGUUUUUUGGAAGAAGGUCCUUCCGCCUCACCACUGCGUCAGCUCAGCUUUGUUGGGGCAACUCCAGGCUUUCAUCACACCCAGGAGCCUCACCCUAUCCAGGUCUGUGUGUCAGGUUUUACAAGGAAGGGCCUGGAGAAAAGAAGGUGAACGACCUGAAAUGUAUUUAGGAUAGUCACUUCCCUUCCCAGAACUGCAGAGAACCUAGGACCGAAAGACUAAGCAAAAUAAAACAAAAUUACAGGCUGAGAAUACAACUGAGUGGUAGAGAGUUUGCCUGGCAUGUGAAAAGCCCUGGGUUCCAUCUUUAGUGUCUCAAAGAAAGAGAAAAAAGAAGAAUUAUCACCACCACGACCACCAGCAGCAGCAGCACCACCACCAACAGCAUCAUCACCAUCUUUACCAAUACCACCAUCACUGUCGCUGCCACCGUAAUCAUCACCAUCAGCAUCACCAC
rnacentral:lncRNA from 1 species